GGUCUGCCUCAGUGUCUCUGUCAGUUGUCUCUCAGCGCGGGGGCUGCUGGGUAGCAGGAAUCUGAGGGCCUGGUCACGUGUUUCGGCCCCGGUGGCACUCGGUCAGUCAUGUUGGGAGUGCUGAGCAGUUUCCCGCCGCCCGCUGAAGGGGUGAGGCGGCUCCAGCCCGGGACUGAGGCGGUGAUGAGCGGGCAGAAACUGGGGGCCGGCACCCUGUACAUCGCCGAGAGUCGGCUGUCAUGGCUCAACAGCUCCGGCCUGGGCUUCUCUUUGGAAUAUCCCACCAUCAGUCUACACGCCAUCUCCAGAGACACCGCCGCCUACCCUGAGGAGCAUCUCUAUGUGAUGGUGAACACCAAGCUGGCCGACAAUGAUACAAAUGAAGCUAAGAUGAAAGAUGAGGGAGAGGACAAUGGACAAGAGGAGGAGGAGGAGGAGGAAGAUGAUGAUGACGACGAUGAUGAGGAGCCAAUCACGGAGAUCCGAUUUGUUCCUGAGAAUAAAUCAGAUUUGAGUGAGAUGUUCUCCGCCAUGUGUGACUGCCAGGCUCUGCACCCCGAUCCAGAAGAUGCGGAUUCAGAUGAUGAUUUUGAAGGAGAGGAGUAUGAUGUGGAGGCACAUGAACAAGGCCUAGCAGACAUCCCCACGUUUUACACAUAUGAGGAAGGCUUGUCCCAUCUCACCUCUGAAGGUCAGGCCACUCUGGAGCGGUUAGAAGGAAUGCUGGCCAAUUCUGUCUCCAAUCAGCACACCAUGGCCGGGGUCCGCACCGAAGACUCUGCUGCGGAUUAUGAAGAUGGCAUGGACGUGGAGGCUGUGCCCACCGAGGCCGGACAGUUUGAGGAUGCAGAUGUUGAACACUGAUGGAAUAUAUUUUGGUAGGUUCCUGUGACUCUGGCUAAUCAAUAUCCCCAGGUGCCAGAGGAAUCGCCGUGAACCAAUCACUGUGCGCCGCCGACCCGUUGCCAUUUCAUUAGUCAUUCCAAUUCUUUUUAGACUUGAACUAACAGCCGCUGCCAAGUGUGGACCCCCGGGGGCAUCCAUGACGUUGUCCAGAAGCUCAGUUAGGCCUCGUAGAGCGCGCUAGGACCGUAGAGUCUCCAGAAUUGCUGCUUUGAUUGUUGCGCUGGAUUAUCUGCUUUCGUUUUUUGAUAACCUGUUGGAACUUUCUAAUUUGGAAACGUAUAACAAUUGUCCGUUUCAUAGGAAUCUGGACUGGAAAACAGCGAGCACUUCUCUAGAACCUGAACGAAUUUGUAAGUUCUUAUUAUUGUCUAAUAAACUAGGGUUUUGUAUCUA